rnacentral:lncRNA from 1 species
AGAGAACAUGCCAGGGAGUGAACUUUUAUUGGGGAACAAAAAAUUCUGGGGAAAAUCCCAUCCAAUGAAGAUUAAGGGGAGCAGUGUCCCAAGAUCAGGUGCGAUGAUUGGGUCUUCAGGGCUUGUGGCCAGAAAGCCUCCACACAGACAAGCCCUCGGACCUGAGAAGGGUGGGGAAAGCUCUGGACACAAAGAUGUGUCUAAGUGCCUCUUGCCCAGCCAGGGAGGUAACUCGAAUCACAUGCGAGGAUGGCCUUCCACACAAGCCUGAAAUCCCAGCAACUCUGGAGAGGUAGGCAAGAGGACUGCAAAUUCCAGACCAGCUUGAGCAAUUUAGUGAGAUCCUGUUUCCAAAAAGGAAAAGAAAAGAUAAAAGGAAGUGGUGGUUGGUUCAUAUGAGCGAACCUGUCUUCCCAGGUGAGUCACUGGAUGAAAUCAUGAAAACAGACUUUGCCAAGAGAGCACAUUUCUCUAUUCUCUAUGUCAAAUAUCCAUGUGAUUCGUUGACACAUUCAUUCAUUAGCAAAUGUUUUUGAGUGUCCAGCAUGGCCAGGUACUAUUCUUAGUCGAAAUGAAGCAGUGUGCAAAACGGAAGGUGAUGGGGAUGAUGAUGAAGAAACUCCCCCUGGGUGUGGUAAUAAGUACCUCCCAUUUGGCUGUGCCUUUCUUGGGGCACCACCUGUGAAUCCAGGCAUAUGAAGAGUUGCCAGUGGCAGAGUUCUAAGCCAUUAGCUCAUUGGACAUACAGAGGUUAGAUGCAUUAAGGCUGCUGACUGAACAUGAGGAACAAGAGCUACCCUUUGCCUCUCAGGCAAGUGGGGAGUUAGAAACUCACGCCCUUAGGAGAUGGUCCAGGGCUGAGAAGAUGGAUAACAUUCCAUAUCUGACAUAGAUUUAAAUUCUGGAGUAGAGCCAGUAAAACUGUGCCAACGUCCUAAAGAGAGGAAGUCUAUGAUAAAGAAAACUCAAAAUGUAAAAAUCAUACCAAGAGAUACAAAACAAAAAGUAACUCUUUUUUUUUUAUCUCUAGUAACAGAAUAAUCCAAUGUGAAAUAGUUGCUUCUAAAGGAGAGGUUACACUUUUGAGUUUACUUAAAUAGUGUUUUUCUCAUUCAUAAAAGUAAUAUAUCCUUUUGGAAACAUUAGAAAGUUACUAAAGGAGGCUGAGUUAAGGCAUAUAAAUUAGUUAGAAAUAGAUAAAUGAGAGACCCUGCCUUAUUUCUUCUGGCAACUUCUUAUUAGGUGCAGGUUCAUACUUUAUUUUUCUAUGUAUAAGCUAUUUUAUGCUUUCUUUGUUUUACUAAACUUGGGAAAGAAUGCCAAACCAAUUACUCUUUCUAAAGUAUAUAAAAUACAUGUCAGAAUGUGCAUAUUUUUCACUUUUUAAAAUGUUUUAUAUAUUUAUUUUUAAAUUAUAUAUAUCUUUUAAAUUUUUAAAUUUAUGUAUCUUUUUAUAGAAAAGUUGAAAAACACAAAAAUGAAGUUAAAGUUAUCUAUAAUCCCACUACUGCUGAUAUGCUAGCAUGUACUUUGGUGCAUUUAUUUACAGAUUGUAUGCAUGUAUAUGCAUAGAUAUCUUAUCCAUGCCAACAUAUAUGUGAAGAAUUACAACUACAUGGAAAAUGUUUAUGAUGUGAUAUAAGCAGGAAAGAGCAGAGUGGAAACCUUUUCCUGAUCUCUGAUCUCUUUAAAAUUUUUCAUAAUCAUGUUUUUAAUAAAUUCAUGAUAGUUCAUCAUUUUGCUGUGAGCUGGUAAACUUUUUCAGAAAAAAUGGGAGCUGCUCUUAAUAAAUUCAGAAAAUUCUGCUAUGAAAUGAAAACAGGUUGUCUGCUUAUUCUUUCUCCUCAUCAUGAUCUCAUAUUUUUUCCUAGCACUUUCCAACAUCCAGAGCAUAUAGUAGUAAACCUAAAGCCUGCAAAGCUUUAGAACUAGAUAUGAUUUAAUAUUUUUAACAGUCAGUACCCAGAAUAGUAACAUCAAUAUUCUGAAAGGAAAAUUAGGGAAAUGUCAAGAGUUGAAAACUUCCUACAUAUAGUUUGAGCAUCAAAAAUUAAAACAGCUACCGUAAUGUUUCUCUCCCAGUGUUUGCUACAAUAGGAGGCACACUUCUUUUACAAUGACAUCUUAGAGUCAUGAUUAAAUAUCUCCUUGGUCCUGAACUCUGGGCUUCCCCAAGGCCAGCACAUGGAUCAAAGUGGCUACAGAAAGAUACCUGGGGGAAGAUUUAAAACAAUACUAAAUCCUGGGUCCUGCUUCAGUACAUGUGGAGUGGACUGGAAAUCUGUAUUUUACAAGCUUUCCCAAGUGUUCUGAUAAAU